AUUGAACGCUGGCGGCAGGCCUAACACAUGCAAGUCGAACGAGUGGCGGACGGGUGAGUAAUGUCUGGGAAACUGCCCGAUGGAGGGGGAUAACUACUGGAAACGGUAGCUAAUACCGCCUAACAUCGUAUGUGCCCAGAUGGGAUUAUCUAGUAGGUGGGGUAACGGCUCACCUAGGCGACGCUCCCUAGCUGGUCUGAGAGGAUGACCAGCCACACUGGACCUGAGACACGGUCCAGACUCCUACGGUAGGCAGCAGUGGGGAAUAUUGCACAAUGGGCGCAAGCCUGAUGCAUCCAUGCCGCGGGUAUGAAGAAGGCCUUCGGGUUGUAAAGUACUUUCAGCGAGGAGGCGUUACUCGCAGAAGAAGCACCGGCUAACUCCGUGCCAGCAGCCGCGGUAAUUC
rnacentral:rRNA from 1 species